GAUGAACGCUGGCGGCGUGCCUAAUACAUGCAAGUCGAGCGAACGGACGAGAAGCUUGCUUCUCUGAUAUUAGCGGCGGACGGGUGAGUAACACGUGGAUAACCUACCUAUAAGACUGGGAUAACUUCGGGAAACCGGAGCUAAUACCGGAUAAUAUUUUGAACCGCAUGGUUCAAAAGUGAAAGACGGUCUUGCUGUCACUUAUAGAUGGAUCCGCGCUGCAUUAGCCAGUUGGUAAGGUAACGGCUUACCAAGGCAACGAUGCAUAGCCGACCUGAGAGGGUGAUCGGCCACACUGGAACUGAGACACGGUCCAGACUCCUACGGGAGGCAGCAGUAGGGAAUCUUCCGCAAUGGGCGAAAGCCUGACGGAGCAACGCCGCGUGAGUGAUGAAGGUCUUCGGAUCGUAAAACUCUGUUAUUAGGGAAGAACAUAUGUGUAAGUAACUGUGCACAUCUUGACGGUACCUAAUCAGAAAGCCACGGCUAACUACGUG
rnacentral:rRNA from 1 species